rnacentral:rRNA from 1 species
CUAAGGCUAAAUACUCUCUAGUGACCGAUAGUGAACCAGUACCGUGAGGGAAAGGUGAAAAGCACCCCGGAAGGGGAGUGAAAUAGAACCUGAAACCGUGUGCUUACAAGUAGUCAGAGCCCGUUAAUGGGUGAUGGCGUGCCUUUUGUAGAAUGAACCGGCGAGUUACGAUUUGAUGCAAGGUUAAGCAGUAAAUGUGGAGCCGUAGCGAAAGCGAGUCUGAAUAGGGCGUUUAGUAUUUGGUCGUAGACCCGAAACCAGGUGAUCUACCCUUGGUCAGGUUGAAGUUCAGGUAACACUGAAUGGAGGACCGAACCGACUUACGUUGAAAAGUGAGCGGAUGAACUGAGGGUAGCGGAGAAAUUCCAAUCGAACCUGGAGAUAGCUGGUUCUCUCCGAAAUAGCUUUAGGGCUAGCCUCAAGUGAUGAUUAUUGGAGGUAGAGCACUGUU